rnacentral:rRNA from 1 species
AGUGAACGCUGGCGGUAGGCCUAACACAUGCAAGUCGAACGGCAGCACAGGAGAGCUUGCUCUCUGGGUGGCGAGUGGCGGACGGGUGAGGAAUACAUCGGAAUCUGCCCAUUCGUGGGGGAUAACGUAGGGAAACUUACGCUAAUACCGCAUACGACCUUCGGGUGAAAGAGGGGGAUCGCAAGACCUCUCGCGAUUGGAUGAGCCGAUGUCGGAUUAGCGAGUUGGCGGGGUAAUGGCCCACCAAGGCGACGAUCCGUAGCUGGUCUGAGAGGAUGAUCAGCCACACUGGAACUGAGACACGGUCCAGACUCCUACGGGAGGCAGCAGUGGGGAAUAUUGGACAAUGGGCGCAAGCCUGAUCCAGCCAUACCGCGUGGGUGAAGAAGGCCUUCGGGUUGUAAAGCCCUUUUGUUGGGAAAGAAAUCUUUCAGGCUAAUACCCUGGGAGGAUGACGGUACCCAAAGAAUAAGCACCGGCUAACUUCGUG